CUGAAGCAAUUGAAGCUGUCCUCAGGGUCAGAGGUCACAGGUCUUAAAGUUUCUUGGUUCUUACUUAGAAAAAAAGGGGUGGGGACCUAUUUUCAGUGGGCAAGCAAAUCAUGUAUAGCUUUCAUUUAGAAGCAUGUGCUCAUUUUAAAUGUCAUUUUUGUUUUCUCCUGUAAAGUCCUGAUAAGUAAUUUUCAGUAUUCCUCAAUGCCCACACUUUAUUAUACUUAAGAUUCAGGGUUCUUGGACUUUACUGACCCAGGUGACUCUCAGACUCUAAGAACCCAUAUCAGCAUGGGAUGGAUGGUGGCACUGGGCAGAUAGGCUGUGAGCAGAUGGGACAAGACCCAUCAACAAGGCAAGAAGAAUUCAAGUUUUGCUCAUUGUAUAACGUUUUCACUUUCACUUUUUUUUAAAAGAUACAAUACUGGAGAAUACACAAAGUUGUCUGUACAAUUUAAGGAGUGAUUAUUGAGCAGAUAGCCAUGACAGCCUGCAAAUGUUCUACCAAGGAAGAAUCUUGCUUUGGGGAGUGGAAGCUUGUAGGGCAGAGUGGGAAGGGUCCCUAAAAUCAAGUGUGCGGUGGCAUGAGCUUGGGGCAAGUAGGAGGGAGGUGGAUCGUACGUGUGACUAUUCUGGGUUCAGGUCAUCUGAGACUGAGACAAAGAUACACCAACCAAGCAGGAGAUGAGGCCAUGCUCUGGGAACAAACAGCCCUCUGCCCCGGCCCUCAUUCCUCAGCCCUGUACAUGGAUACUGCGUGUCAUCCCGGGGACCUACAGUCUCUCCAUCUGUCUCGUGACGCAGUGGGACACCCCUGAAGCUUCCAGAGAUGAUAAAGCCAAGAACAUUAUUUAAAGCAUGGUGCAAAUUGUUUCUCCAACACAGGUGAUGUCAUUUUUGGUGGUUGAACACGAUGCGGGCCAGCCACACAUCCCACAAUCGCCUCUUCGGACAUGAAAAUGAUUGAAUUCCCCGAGCAGAAAAUGAAAACCACGAAACGGGCAGAAUAACAAGCUUCACUUCUGUUCCAUCAAAUACAGGAUUUAAAUACACAAUUACAGAGCUUCGGCUUUCUGUGCUUUCGCAUUUAAAUUUUAUCCCAUCCAAUCAUGGCCACUAUCCUGUGGA